GAGGCGCUGCCUUACACAUGCAAGUCGAACGGCAGCGGGGGUAGCUUGCUACCUGCCGGCGAGUGGCGAACGGGUGAGUAAUACAUCGGAACGUGCCCUGUAGUGGGGGAUAACUAGUCGAAAGACUAGCUAAUACCGCAUACGACCUGAGGGUGAAAGUGGGGGACCGCAAGGCCUCAUGCUAUAGGAGCGGCCGAUGUCUGAUUAGCUAGUUGGUGGGGUAAAGGCCCACCAAGGCGACGAUCAGUAGCUGGUCUGAGAGGACGAUCAGCCACACUGGGACUGAGACACGGCCCAGACUCCUACGGGAGGCAGCAGUGGGGAAUUUUGGACAAUGGGGGCAACCCUGAUCCAGCAAUGCCGCGUGUGUGAAGAAGGCCUUCGGGUUGUAAAGCACUUUUGUCCGGAAAGAAAUCGCUUCGGUUAAUACCUGGAGUGGAUGACGGUACCGGAAGAAUAAGGACCGGCUAACUACGUGCCAGCAGCCGCGGUAAUACGUAGGGUCCAAGCGUUAAUCGGAAUUACUGGGCGUAAAGCGUGCGCAGGCGGUUGUGCAAGACCGAUGUGAAAUCCCCGGGCUUAACCUGGGAAUUGCAUUGGUGACUGCACAGCUAGAGUGUGUCAGAGGGAGGUAGAAUUCCACGUGUAGCAGUGAAAUGCGUAGAGAUGUGGAGGAAUACCGAUGGCGAAGGCAGCCUCCUGUGAUAACACUGACGCUCAUGCACGAAAGCGUGAGGAGCAGACAGGAUUAGAUACCCUGGUAGUCCACGCCCUAAACGAUGUCAACUAGUUGUUGGGGAUUCAUUUCCUUAGUAACGUAGCUAACGCGUGAAGUUGACCGCCUGGCGAGUACGGUCGCAAGAUUAAAACUCAAAGGAAUUGACUGGGACCCGCACAAGCGGUGGAUGAUGUGGAUUAAUUCGAUGCAACGCGAGAGACCUUACCUACCCUUGACAUGCCACUAACGAAGCAGAAAUGCAUUAAGUGCUCGAAAGAGAAAUGGACUCAGGUGCUGCAUGGCUGUCAUCAGCUCCUGUCUGAGAUGUUGGGUUAAGUCCCGCACUAACGCAACCCUUGCUCUAUUUGCUACGAAAGGCCUNUAGAAGAAUGCCCGGAACAACCCGACGAAGGAGGGNUGACCUCAAUCCUCUCGCCU
rnacentral:rRNA from 1 species